rnacentral:rRNA from 1 species
ACUCAAUAGAUACCCCGGUAGUCCACGCCGUAAACGAUGUGUGUUUGUCGCUGGGGGGUUUCCCCUUCGGUGACGUAGCUAAACGCGUUAAAGCACACCGCCUGGGAAGUACGGCCGCAAGGUUAAAACCUCAAAGGAAUUGACGGGGACCCGCACAAGCGGUGGAGUAUGUGGUUUAAUUCGUCGCAACGCGAAAGAACCUUACCAGGCCUUGACAUGCCUCCUAGGAGACUCAGAGACGAGUCUUUCACUUCGGGUGGGGAGGACACAGGUGCUGCAUGGCUGUCGUCAGCUCGUGUCGUGAGAUGUUGGGUUAAGUCCC